CUGGCGGUAGGCUACACAUGNCAGUCGAACGGCAGCACAGGAGAGCUUGCUCUCUGGGUGGCGAGUGGCGGACGGGUGAGGAAUACAUCGGAAUCUACCUUUUCGUGGGGGAUAACGUAGGGAAACUUACGCUAAUACCGCAUACGACCUUCGGGUGAAAGCAGGGGACCUUCGGGCCUUGCGCGGAUAGAUGAGCCGAUGUCGGAUUAGCUAGUUGGCGGGGUAAAGGCCCACCAAGGCGACGAUCCGUAGCUGGUCUGAGAGGAUGAUCAGCCACACUGGAACUGAGACACGGUCCAGACUCCUACGGGAGGCAGCAGUGGGGAACAUUGGACAAUGGGCGCAAGCCUGAUCCAGCCAUACCGCGUGGGUGAAGAAGGCCUUCGGGUUGUAAAGCCCUUUUGUUGGGAAAGAAAAGCAGUCGGCUAAUACCCGGUUGUUCUGACGGUACCCAAAGAAUAAGCACCGGCUAACUUCGUGCCAGCAGCCGCGGUAAU
rnacentral:rRNA from 1 species